UUUUAUAGCUUGCUAUGAUAAAAAUUAGUGGCAGACGGGUGAGUAAUGCAUAGGAAUCUACCUAGUAGUAUGGGAUAGCCACUAGAAAUGGUGGGUAAUACUGUAUAAUCCCUGCGGGGGAAAGAUUUAUCGCUAUUAGAUGAGCCUAUGUUAGAUUAGCUAGUUGGUAGGGUAAAGGCCUACCAAGGCAGUGAUCUAUAGCUGGUCUGAGAGGAUGAUCAGCCACACUGGAACUGAGAUACGGUCCAGACUCCUACGGGAGGCAGCAGUGGGGAAUAUUGGACAAUGGGCGCAAGCCUGAUCCAGCUAUGCCGCGUGAGUGAGGAAGGCCUUAGGGUUGUAAAACUCUUUCAGUGGGGAAGAUAAUGACGGUACCCACAGAAGAAGUCCCGGCAAACUCCGUGCCAGCAGCCGCGGUAAUACGGAGGGGGCAAGCGUUGUUCGGAAUUAUUGGGCGUAAAGGGCAUGUAGGCGGUUCGGUAAGUUAAAGGUGAAAUGCCAGGGCUUAACCCUGGAGCUGUU
rnacentral:rRNA from 1 species